rnacentral:misc_RNA from 1 species
GAUGAAGAACGUAGCGAAAUGCGAUAAGUAAUGUGAAUUGCAGAAUUCAGUGAAUCAUCGAAUCUUUGAACGCACAUUGCGCCCGCCAGUAUUCUGGCGGGCAUGCCUGUUCGAGCGUCAUUUCAACCAUCAAGCCCCAGGCUUGUGUUGGGGACCUGCGGCUGCCGCAGGCCCUGAAAACCAGUGGCGGGCUCGCUGUCACACCGGGCGUAGUAGAUUUUAUCUCGCUCAGGGCGUGCUGCGGGUUCCGGCCGUUAAAAAGCUUUUUUUACCCAAGGUUGACCUCGGAUCAGGUAGGAAGACCCGCUGAACUUAAGCAUAUCAAUAAGCGGAGGA